AGCGGUAGCACAGAGAGCUUGCUCUCGGGUGACGAGCGGCGGACGGGUGAGUAAUGUCUGGGAAACUGCCUGAUGGAGGGGGAUAACUACUGGAAACGGUAGCUAAUACCGCAUAACGUCGCAAGACCAAAGUGGGGGACCUUCGGGCCUCAUGCCAUCAGAUGUGCCCAGAUGGGAUUAGCUAGUAGGUGGGGUAACGGCUCACCUAGGCGACGAUCCCUAGCUGGUCUGAGAGGAUGACCAGCCACACUGGAACUGAGACACGGUCCAGACUCCUACGGGAGGCAGCAGUGGGGAAUAUUGCACAAUGGGCGCAAGCCUGAUGCAGCCAUGCCGCGUGUGUGAAGAAGGCCUUCGGGUUGUAAAGCACUUUCAGCGGGGAGGAAGGCGAUAAGGUUAAUAACCUUGUCGAUUGACGUUACCCGCAGAAGAAGCACCGGCUAACUCCGUGCCAGCAGCCGCGGUAAUACGGAGGGUGCAAGCGUUAAUCGGAAUUACUGGGCGUAAAGCGCACGCAGGCGGUCUGUCAAGUCGGAUGUGAAAUCCCCGGGCUCAACCUGGGAACUGCAUUCGAAACUGGCAGGCUAGAGUCUUGUAAAGGGGGGUAGAAUUCCAGGUGUAGCGGUGAAAUGCGUAGAGAUCUGGAGGAAUACCGGUGGCGAAGGCGGCCCCCUGGAACAAAGACUGACGCUCAGGUGCGAAAGCGUGGGGAGCAAACCGGAUUAGAUACCCUGGUAGUCCACGCUGUAAACGAUGUCGAUUUGGAGGUUGUGCCCUUGAGGCGUGGCUUCCGGAGCUAACGCGUUAAAUCGACCGCCUGGGGAGUACGGCCCAAGGUUAAAACUCAAAUGAAUUGACGGGGGCCCGCACAAGCGGUGGAGCAUGUGGUUUAAUUCGAUGCAACGCGAAGAACCUUACCUGGUCUUGACAUCCACAGAACUUUCCAGAGAUGGAUUGGUGCCUUCGGGAACUGUGAGACAGGUGCUGCAUGGCUGUCGUCAGCUCGUGUUGUGAAAUGUUGGGUUAAGUCCCGCAACGAGCGCAACCCUUAUCCUUUGUUGCCAGCGGUUCGGCCGGGAACUCAAAGGAGACUGCCAGUGAUAAACUGGAGGAAGGUGGGGAUGACGUCAAGUCAUCAUGGCCCUUACGACCAGGGCUACACACGUGCUACAAUGGCAUAUACAAAGAGAAGCGACCUCGCGAGAGCAAGCGGACCUCAUAAAGUAUGUCGUAGUCCGGAUUGGAGUCUGCAACUCGACUCCAUGAAGUCGGAAUCGCUAGUAAUCGUAGAUCAGAAUGCUACGGUGAAUACGUUCCCGGGCCUUGUACACACCGCCCGUCACACCAUGGGAGUGGGUUGCAAAAGAAGUAGGUAGCUUAACCUUCGGGAGGG
rnacentral:rRNA from 1 species